CCUACGGGUGGCAGCAGUAGGGAAUCUUCCACAAUGGGCGCAAGCCUGAUGGAGCAACACCGCGUGAGUGAAGAAGGGUUUCGGCUCGUAAAGCUCUGUUGUCGGAGAAGAACGUGCGUGAGAGUAACUGUUCACGCAGUGACGGUAUCCAACCAGAAAGUCACGUCUAACUACGUGCCAGCAGCCGCGGUAAUACGUAGGUGGCAAGCGUUAUCCUGAUUUAUUGGGCGUAAAGCGAGCGCAGGCGGUUGCGUAGGUCUGCUGUGAAAGCCGUCGGCUUAACCGAAGAAGUGCAUCGGAAACCGUGCGACUUGAGUGCAGAAGAGGGCAGUGGAACUCCGAGUGUAGCGGUGGAAUGCGUAGAUAUAUGGAGGAACACCAGUGGCGAAGGCGGCUGACUGGUCUGCAACUGACGCUGAGGCUCGAAAGCAUGGGUAGCGAACAGGAUUAGAUACCCCGGUAGUC
rnacentral:rRNA from 1 species